rnacentral:rRNA from 1 species
UACAGAGGCCUCGAGCGUUAGGCGGAAUCACUGGGCUUAAAGCGUGUGUAGGCGGACUUCUAAGUACCUUGUGAAAUCCACGGCUCACCCGUGGAACUGCUCGGUAUACUGGUCGUCUUGAGCCUUCUAGGGGCGAGUGGAACAAAUGGUGGAGCGGUGAAAUGCGUAGAUAUCAUUUGGAACGCCAAUGGUGAAAACAACUCGCUGGGGAAGUGCUGACGCUGAGACACGAAAGCCAGGGGAGCGAACGGG